AUCCUUAAUGCUUAGCCUGUGU
rnacentral:misc_RNA from 1 species